rnacentral:sRNA from 1 species
GCUGGGUGCAGUGGCGCAUACCUGUAAUCCCAGAGGCUUGGGAGGCUGAGGCAGGAGGAUUGCAAAUUCAAGGCCAACCUCAGCUACUUAGCGAGGCCCUAAGCAACUCAGUGAGACCCUGUCUCUA